GCAUUUUAUUCAUUUGCUUUUGGGGACCUUUGACCCAAGCACUGUGUCCCAUCUGGUUUCCUAAAGUCAGGGGAGAACCAAAGAGCAGUGAAAAGAGUGUACAUCAUGAUCUCACCCUGAUGGUGUUUCUUUUCUCUACACUCAGGUCGUCGCAAGAGCGAUGCAAUAUGGUAGGUAUCUUGGAAUCACUCUCCUGCUGAUGAAAAUAUCUAUACGGUCAGGAACCUGAGGCAUUCCUGCUGGCAUCAGUCUGGAGAGCUACCCUGACUCUAGGUUCCUUGUAGGACUGAGGCUUUAGGGUGUGGAGAAAAGACAGAUUUCCCAGGGGAAAACUUAUGUCCAAGUUUACAGUGUGAGGAAGACAAUGUAUUCAGUGGUGUGUGUGUGUGUGUGUACGUACGCAGGUGUGUGUUUGAGAGAGGCAGAACCUGAGGGACAGAGAAAGAGACAGGGAAACUUACAAGAGAAUGAGACACAUCAUUCCUGAGAGAGAGAGAGAGAGAGAGAGAGAGAGAGAGAGAGAGAGAGAGAGAGAGAGAUGUGAGUUUUUCCCAGGUGAUAUGUGCCACUGACACUGCACAAUGGCCAAUGUUUACUAUUUAAAAAAAACUCUUCAUACUGCACACUUCAAGGAUUAUUGCUGAGGGUGGCUAAGUCCCAUUGAGUCCAUGCAGGUAACCAAAGCCUCCAUACUCUCUGGACCAUGUUCAUAUCAAGGAACAGUCCCUGAAGUAUUCCUGUGCAAUGCCAACAAUGUAGUCAGGUGUUUCCCUGUCUUUCUAGGUGUCUCAAAGGAGGAAAACCUGCGGUCUGUUGCAGUAAGGAGGCAAAAGACUGUUGCAGAGGUGGCCUUAGGAGCACGAGAAGAAGGUUGCUGAGGGAGAAACAGAAUAUGGUGUCCCUGAGGAGGAAAAGAUGUGGGCCGUUCCUGUCAGGAGGCAGCAGGAUGUUGCUGAGGUGGCCGCGGGAGCAACGAAAUAUGGUGUCCCUGUGGAGGAAAAGAUGUGGGCUUUUCCUGUAAGGACACACCAGGCUGUUGGUGAGUUUCCUGUGGUCUCUGGAACCAUGGAGAAUGGUAGGUAUUCAGGAAUCAAUCAUUUGCUGUCUUUAGUCAGGGGAGUGCUUCUGAUUUUGGGUUUCCACUGAAAGGAGGAUCACAGACGUAGUGACAAAGCGAUUUGUCGAAGGGUAAACCAUGUUUAUGUGUGUACAGGCACUCAUGUGGCAUUCAGGUAGUGAGUUUCUGUGCGUGGAGACUGGGUGAGUCUCUUUGUGAACUGACAAGUGUGUGAAGUGAGCAUGUAUGUGCUUGUAUGUGGUCUCUGUGUGAGAAGUUUAUGUUCCUCUAGAUUAACAUGUCCCUAAAGAGCACAGUUGCUGGUGUGAACUUUGCCAUUCAUAAGAAAAAUCCCAUCACCGAGCUUCAUGAUGUGUGUCUGUAUGUCAAAGGAUAUAAAUACGGACAAUUUAAAUAUAGUUAGUAUAUUAUACACCAGAUAUAGCUUGUUUAGGCUGAAAAAAGUCCUAUUAAUAGCCAGGAAAACAUUCACAGGAUUCUGAACGGGAAAUAUGUUUUCAGAAUCCAUGGGAGUCUGUGAAUCAUGACUUCAGUUCAAGGUAGACCUCAACUCCGAGGAGGCUGUUUCAUUGCCUUCAGGGCACUUGGAUCGAUCCUGAUUAAGGAGAAGGAGCCCUAAUGGUAUCUAAUUGGCCUCUGAGGAAAGGAAGCUUAUGGAAGUGAUGAAUGAUGGAGGGGUUGGCAUGGGCUGUGGGGAUGGGGGCUGGACGGGGAGACGAGGCCCUUUAACCCCCAAUUCCUAGUACUUUCUCUCACGCCUCUACUUUCUGAGGCAGACCCUGAAUUUCUAGGCUGAGGUUGUCAUCAGUAAUAAUUUCAGUCCUUGCUCCUGAUCCUCCUUGUGUGGGGCACCCGCCAGUGCCGAGACUAGAGUGAUCCCAGAGUCCUUGCUCCAUCAUACUUCAGCAGUAAAGGGAUAACUGCCCCAGGGUUACUGCCUUCCUGCCCCUCCUAUCCUUUCUAAAA
rnacentral:lncRNA from 1 species